CAUGCAAGUCGAACGAAGUAGCAAUACUUAGUGGCAGACGGGUGAGUAACAUGUGGGUAUCUACCCUUUGGCCUGGAAUAACACGAGGAAACUUGUGCUAAUACCGGAUAAGUCUUUACGGAGAAAGCUUUAUGCACCAUUGGAUGAGCCCGCACUUGAUUAGUUUGUUGGUAGGGUAAUGGCCUACCAAGACUAUGAUCAAUAGCUGAUUUGAGAGGAUGAUCAGCCACAUUGGGACUGAGACACGGCCCAAACUCCUACGGGAGGCAGCAGUGGGGAAUCUUGCACAAUGGAGGAAACUCUGAUGCAGCGAUGCCGCGUGAGUGAAGAAGGCCCUUGGGUUGUAAAGCUCUUUCGUCGGGGAAGAAAAUGACUGUACCCGAAUAAGAAGGUCCGGCUAACUUCGUGCCAGCAGCCGCGGUAAUACGAAGGGACCUAGCGUAGUUCGGAAUUACUGGGCUUAAAGAGUUCGUAGGUGGUUGAAAAAGUUGGUGGUGAAAUCCCAGAGCUUAACUCUGGAACUGCCAUCAAAACUUUUCAGCUAGAGUAUGAUAGAGGAAAGCAGAAUUUCUAGUGUAGAGGUGAAAUUCGUAGAUAUUAGAAAGAAUACCAAUUGCGAAGGCAGCUUUCUGGAUCAUUACUGACACUGAGGAACGAAAGCAUGGGUAGCGAAGAGGAUUAGAUACCCUCGUAGUCCAUGCCGUAAACGAUGUGUGUUAGACGUUGGAAAUUUAUUUUCAGUGUCGCAGGGAAACCGAUAA
rnacentral:rRNA from 1 species